CACACAUCUCUAUGGGGAAAUAUACCACAAACAUUUGGUCAAAGCUUGCCCAGGAUCUUCAGAACACAUAUGGAAUCUCACUUAAGAGUCCACACGACGAGAAGAGAAAAAGGAAGAUACAUAAGAAGCCUCUUGAGGUCUCUUCCAGCUCUCAUUUCCCAUGAUGUUUUGUGGACUGGUUUUGGGUAGACGAAAGAAGAAUAAGAUCAAGCAGUAGCAAUGGCAUAAACUGAAAUAGAAAAGAAUGGGCAAUCAAAUGAGAUAGAACAGAGUUAGAGUUUCAGUACCAAGCUGUCAUUUCAAGCUAAACCAAAACAGAUUUAUUAUGCAAAAACAGUUCUUACAAUGGCUACUGGGAAAACAAUUAAUGUUUUAAUAACUGCAGAAUUAAACCAUUAAAAAUAAAGACCCCCCCCCCACUGAGAGAAAAUAUGCA
rnacentral:lncRNA from 1 species